CCACUCCACCUGGUCUCCUCCUCGUUUUCCCCAUGGACCCAAUCCCACACGCAGCCAAGCCUCCACCUUCUUCCCGAUUCCACUCCAGUCGCCAACGCAUAGGAGAGGAGCUCCUCGAUCCCCUUGGCUCCAACCUCUGCGUCGUGGCCUCGAGCUCGACCUCGCCUUGAUGACCGGCUCCACUUCGGAUGACCACCUCCAGGACCCCCUCCGUCGCGCCCUCGCCCCACGCCGGCAAGCGAUCCCAUCGUCAAGCUGCUCCGACCCGCAGGGCCGCGCCACCAAGCCCAAGAACGACGUUGGCCUCCUCAACUCUCGUCGCUGCCUCCAAUUCAAGCCGCCAGACCGCUGCUUCACCUCCCCAUGCCUGGGUUCGUGCCCCCGCAAGCUGCGCUCGAGGCAGCUGCCUCCUCGCGUGCUGAGGCGUGAGCACAACCCUGUGGCCCUGCCUCUGCCCGAGCUCCUCCAGCAGCUCCCCAUCACCCUCGAUUCCGCCCCGUCGUCCGGCCGACACCGGCGGCCGGAACCUCACCAGAGAUGAGUGCCCGACAGCCCUGCUCCUUUCCCCUCAUGCUUAUCUAUCUCUCUCUUUCUCAUGAUGUCCCUCUCCCUCUCUCUGCUUUCGCUCACAAGAGACCACCAUGGCCGCUGCAUCAAGCUCCGCCGCUGCGCUAACUUCCACCGCCCCAUCCUCGCCUUGCCGGAGAUGCCCCGCCUUCGUCAAGUCCCAGCGCCGCCAGCCUCUGCUCGCUCUGCAUCGAGCAGAGGGGCUUCGCUCGUCCCGCACAGGCCUUCCCUACCCGCGUUGACCCUGCCUCUAGCGCCCCGCUUCCUCUCUAAGGCCCAGAUCCCACCCCAACCGGCCUGCUUCCGCCAAGGCCCAGGUACCGGUAAUGUUGCAAUUGUGAGGAUUCGUUCGACUACGUUGGUUCGUCUACUUCAGGGAUUCGGUCUUCUUCCUAGCGGGAUUUCAGGCAAGAUGACCGUUACCCUAAAUAUCACUACUAUCUUUUCUUUGCUAGUUUUCUCGAUGCUAUUGCUAUGUCGCGCUACCUACCACUUGUUUAUCAAGCCUCCCAAAUUGCCAUGAUAAGCCUCUAACCUUUUCCACCAUCCCAGCAUACCGUCGUUUGGCUAUGUUACUGCUUUGCUCAGCCCCUCUUAUAGCGUUGCUAGUUGUAGGCGCAGUAUCAGGUUAUCCAUGUUCGGACAUGGCUAUCAUGGGAUAUCACAAUAUCUCUUAUUUAAUUAAUGCAUCUAUAUACUUGGUAAAGGGUGGAAGGCUUAGCCUUUUGCUUGAUGUUUUGUUCCACUCCUGCCACCCUAGUUUCCAUCAUACCAAUGUUAUGUUCCUUGAUUUUGCGUUCCUAACACGGUCGGGGUUUAUGGACCCCCUUAACAAUUCGCUUUCAAUAAAACUCUUCCAACAAGGCCCAACUUUGGUUUUACCAUUUGCCUAAUAACAACUAAAACUUGCAUAGGGACUUACCGGUACCCGAGGAUAAUUAAUCAAAAACUUGGGCCAAUGCUCCUCAUGAGUGUUGGUCCAAACUGGGUGAUGUCCGGCGCCCCCUGGGCAACUAGGGUCUCAGCCAACCCGACGUCUUGCCCAUCCGGUGUGCCCUGAGAAUGAGGUACGUGCGACUCCUAUCAGGAUUGUCGAUACAUCGGGUGGUGUUGUUGGUUUUGUUUUACCAUUGUCGAAAUGUCUUGUGAACCGGGAUUCUGAGCUUGAUGAGGUUGUUUUAGAAUGGAGGAUUUUCCUCCGCGGAUCAUGAGAGUUUGUGAUGGACUAAGUUGGGACACCCCUGCAGGGUUUAAUCUUUUCGAGAGCCGUGCCCGCGGUUAUGUGGAAGAUGGGAAAUUUAUAAUAUCCGGUUGUCGAGAACUUGACACUAGAUCCGAAUUAAAAUACACCAACUGCGUGCAUAACCGUGACCGUGUCUUUUUGAGUGAAUUUGAGAAGAGAACACAGUGGGGUUAUGAUUGACUCGUAAGUAGUUUAGGAUCACUUCUUGAUCAUUACUAGAUUGCGACCAUUAUGUGUAGUUUCUCUUCUUAUUCUUGUACUCAUAAGUUAGCCACCAUACAAAUGCGUAGUGCUGCUGCAACCUCACCACUUAUCCAUUCCAUGCCCAUUAAGCUUUGCUAGUCUUGAUACCCAUGAUGAUGGGAUUGCUGAGUCCUCGUG